UUGAACGCUGGCGGCAUGCCUUACACAUGCAAGUCGAACGGUAGAGGAGCAAUCCUCGAGAGUGGCGAACGGGUGAGUAAUGUAUCGGAACGUGCCCAGUAGUGGGGGAUAGCCCGGCGAAAGCCGGAUUAAUACCGCAUGAUACCUGAGGGUGAAAGCGGGGGACCGUAAGGCCUCGCGCGAUCGGAGCGGCCGAUGUCAGAUUAGGUAGUUGGUGGGGUAAAGGCUCACCAAGCCGACGAUCUGUAGCUGGUCUGAGAGGACGACCAGCCACACUGGGACUGAGACACGGCCCAGACUCCUACGGGAGGCAGCAGUGGGGAAUUUUGGACAAUGGGCGCAAGCCUGAUCCAGCAAUGCCGCGUGCAGGAAGAAGGCCUUCGGGUUGUAAACUGCUUUUGUACGGAGCGAAAAGGCUCUCUCUAAUACAGGGGGCUCAUGACGGUACCGUAAGAAUAAGCACCGGCUAACUACGU
rnacentral:rRNA from 1 species